rnacentral:lncRNA from 1 species
AACCCUAGAUCAAAAUUCCUCUGCAUCUUCAUCUCUCUCAAUCCUGUCCGACAACCUUCAAUCGAUCUUCAAGACGCAAUACUCUUCUCUCUCUGAAGAUCAUCUACGAAUCAUCAAUCAUUGGCAAGAUGAUUAAGGAUGGAUUUGCGGAGGGGAAAGAUCUGGUUGCUAGUGUGAUGUCCGCCAUGGGAGAGGAGCAGAUCUGCGCUCUCAAGGACAUCGGUCCAAAAUAGUUAUCUGAUAUUUAUUAUGUUAAAGAAAUGGUUUGUGAUAUCAGUAGAAAUUUUUUUGUUAAAACAUCAUGAAUAUGUUUGCAGCACUUAGCAUAGUACUUGAUAAUGGAUUAUUUAAAUGAUUGUAGGCUCUCCUAUUUCUUCAGAACC